rnacentral:lncRNA from 1 species
CCGGAGUACCUAGGAUGGUGGUUGUCGUGGAGCACGCGGUGGUAGCGCAUGCCUCCGGUGCCAUCGCGGCCUUCGAGGUACUUUCGAUUCUUCUUGAAGCAGGUCAUCGUCGCCGCUGCCAUUGCCUUCACUGCCCCAUGAAUUCUAUCCCAUCCUUUUCCCCCCAGGGUUGGGGUUUCAGAGAUGGAGCAGAAUGAGGUGGGGGGCGAGAGCUGAGAGGCUAAUCACACGUACUGAAAAAUGCU